rnacentral:rRNA from 1 species
ACGGGUGCGUAACACGUGGGUAAUCUGCCCUUCGAUGGGGAAUAACUCCGGGAAACCGAAGCUAAUUCCGCAUAACAUUCCUUGAACCUCGGUUUGGGGACUCAAAGCCGUAAGGCGUCGGAGGAGGAACCCGCGCACGAUUAGCUAGUUGGUAGGGUAACGGCCUACCAAGGCUUUGAUCGUUAGCUGGUCUGAGAGGAUGGCCAGCCACACUGGAACUGAGACACGGUCCAGACUCCUACGGGAGGCAGCAGUGGGGAAUCUUGCACAAUGGGCGAAAGCCUGAUGCAGCGACGCCGCGUGGGGGAUGAAGCUUUUCGGAGUGUAAACCCCUUUCGACCCGGACGAAUGCCCCGCAAGGGGACUGACGGUACGGGUAUAAGAAGCCCCGGCUAACUACGUGCCAGCAGCCGCGG